AGAGUUUGAUCAUGGCUCAGGAUGAACGCUGGCGGCGUGCUUAACACAUGCAAGUCGAACGGGGAAUGCUUUGACAGAGACUUCGGUUGAAGUCGUUGUAUUCCUAGUGGCGGACGGGUGAGUAACGCGUGGGUAACCUGCCCCACACAGGGGGAUAACAACCAGAAAUGGCUGCUAAUACCGCAUAAGCGCACAGUACCGCAUGGUACAGUGUGAAAAACUCCGGUGGUGUGGGAUGGGCCCGCGUUGGAUUAGCCAGUUGGCAGGGUAACGGCCUACCAAAGCGACGAUCCAUAGCCGGCCUGAGAGGGUGAACGGCCACAUUGGGACUGAGACACGGCCCAGACUCCUACGGGAGGCAGCAGUGGGGAAUAUUGCACAAUGGGGGAAACCCUGAUGCAGCGACGCCGCGUGAAGGAAGAAGUAUCUCGGUAUGUAAACUUCUAUCAGCAGGGAAGAGAAUGACGGUACCUGACUAAGAAGCCCCGG
rnacentral:rRNA from 1 species